AAGUCGUAACAAGGUUUCCGUAGGUGAACCUGCGGAAGGAUCAUUAUCACGUUGCAAAACACUUAUCAACCUUGCGUGCACUCGGUUCCUUCAGAAUAUUUUUUGGGUUUGGUGGUUUGGGUUGUUUGUUGAAGUGGUUUGGAACACCCGCCAUCUUUGGUUUUGACAGUCAUUUUGAUUGUUCAACCAGCCCUAUUCUGAAGAGCUGUUUUUUGCGGUACCACCUCAGCCGCGUCUUGUUUCACCUUUUUUCCUUUUUAAACCCCUGUACGAUUCAUGAACUGAUUUGGUUCUUUUGUCUGGUCAUUCAGUUGAUCUUGCGAAAGAAUUCACUUACAAAAACAUCAAAACAACUCUUAACAACGGAUAUCUUGGUUCCCG
rnacentral:misc_RNA from 1 species